ensembl:lncRNA
CGGCUCCUGAGAUCCCCGAAUCGAAUCGUAGCACAUACAUACAGCGUGCGUGGACCACAUGCCCCCCACGCGACAGAGUGCACGGCCAGUCAGCUUCAGCCCUCCGCCGGUGACUCAGGGGUGGUUGUGAGUGUACCACUCAGAAAACAGCAAAGGUUUGCUGGGUUGUAGAAAUGACCCCCACUUAUUGAUCCACAUCUCAUUGUGACUCAUGGCGACAGCAGGGAACUGCAGCAGUCAAACCCCACCCUGUUCUUUUCCAGGCUCGACCCCGUGUAAACAUGGAAGCAGAGGCCGAGGCCGAGGGUGAGGCUUGAGGGUGAGGAUUGAGGGUGAGGAUCGGUGGGCUGUGAUGUAGCGGCACGCCGUCACAACAGCAUCCAUCGCUGUCAGCGGCAGAACGCGUGUGCUCUCACUGCAAAAUCAGGCAGCACAUGGCCAGCGUGAGUGAACAGGCUGCCUGUAAGGACUUGAACUGUGCCUACUUUUCAAAACAAUCUAAAAAACGUCCAAGUGGAUUCCUGCACAGAUAAUUGCACAACCCAUUUGAUGCCUAUAAACACAGUAUAUUAGCUAUUUUCUAGUUAGUGUGAGGCUGCACAGCAAUGUUUUAAGCUAAAGGCUAACAUCAGCCUGCUAACGUCCUCGAAAUGACAAUAAAAACACGUGCAACCUGUCUUGGUUUGGUUAAUUAGCAUACAAACCUUUGCCGAUCAACCCC